rnacentral:rRNA from 1 species
AUUGAACGCUGGCGGCAGGCCUAACACAUGCAAGUCGAACGGUAACAGGAAGCAGCUUGCUGCUUUGCUGACGAGUGGCGGACGGGUGAGUAAUGUCUGGGAAACUGCCCGAUGGAGGGGGAUAACUACUGGAAACGGUAGCUAAUACCGCAUAACGUCGCAAGACCAAAGAGGGGGACCUUAGGGCCUCUUGCCAUCGGAUGUGCCCAGAUGGGAUUAGCUAGUAGGUGGGGUAACGGCUCACCUAGGCGACGAUCCCUAGCUGGUCUGAGAGGAUGACCAGCCACACUGGAACUGGGACACGGUCCAGACUCCUACGGGAGGCAGCAGUGGGGAAUAUUGCACAAUGGGCGCAAGCCUGAUGCAGCCAUGCCGCGUGUAUGAAGAAGGCCUUCGGGUUGUAAAGUACUUUCAGCGGGGAGGAAGGGAGUAAAGUUAAUACCUUUGCUCAUUGACGUUACCCGCAGAAGAAGCACCGGCUAACUCC